UACGUAGGGUGCAAGCGUUGUCCGGAAUGAUUGGGCGUAAAGCGUCUGUAGGUGGCUUUUCAAGUCCGCCGUCAAAUCCCAGGGCUCAACCCUGGACAGGCGGUGGAAACUACCAAGCUGGAGUACGGUAGGGGCAGAGGGAAUUUCCGGUGGAGCGGUGAAAUGCGCAGAGUAUCAGGGGGAACACCAAUUGCGAAGGCAGCUCGCUGGGACGUUACUGACGCUGAGACGCGAAAGCGUGGGAGCAACAGG
rnacentral:rRNA from 1 species